GCUAAAUAGUUUUGGGUAUGGCCACGGUGGGUCUAUUCUGGAAAAACUAUAGGUGAAUUCAAUCUUAAUCCAUAUGGGAUUAGAAAAUAUAGAUUAAGAUUGCAUUCACCUAUAGUUUUUCCAGAAUAGAUCCACCGUGGCCAUACCCAAAACCACUCUCCU